rnacentral:lncRNA from 1 species
UUGCUAAUCAAAGCGCCCACAAGGAGCAGAACAAUCAACAUUAAUUACAUACAAAUGAUUACAAGUGAUUCAAUAUGAUUAAGACACAAUGUUAUAAAAAAAAAAAACAACCAAACCGAAACCAAAAAAUAUUUAUUAAGACAAGUACAAGAAUACAACAAGCACAGUGUUUAAUAAUAUAAGGGGGGUCACUGGGCAUUUCUAUAUCUAUAUAUCAUUUAAGGAAACUUUCCUAUAUGAGGAUAAAUUUUCCAAUAAUUCUCCGAGUUUCUGGAGUAUGAAAGUAUCUUCAGAGGACAUUAGCCAAAUAAAUUGUGAUUUAAUAUCUAAACCACUAAAAUUUUUAAACCGUUGUUUUAUUUCAUUUAAAAAGUUGAAACGAAUAUUUGAAAGUUUGUG